UGUCCUGUGGAAGACAGAGGAGGUAACAGAAUGUCAUCUGGCCAGCCAUCUCCUAAAACGUGAAUAUGGCUGGGUUCAACCUUUGACACACUCGUUAAAACCGGAACGGACCAACGGGACUUACCUGCUCGGUACAGAGGUGAUGCUUGCCCCUCAUUCUCCCUUAUCUGCUCCAGUGCUGCAAUUUUUGGUACACACCAACAUAAAACAAAACCACAGAUGCGCAUCUCAUGCAGGCGAGCCAGCCGAUGACCUGUGGGGAAAGCGACAUUGUGGUAAGCCCCUCUUAGCACAGAGGAGGGAUCCCAAGGUGGGGCUGGAGCAAAACAGGGGAGUAAGACCACUAGGAUCUGAUGGUGGGAGAGGCAUCCUGGAGCUGAGCAGAGUGACCCUUGGGGAUGAAAGGUUGCUGUCCUCCUGCCUUCCCGAUCCCUCCAUACUCACUAGGCCUGGCUCCCGGGACUCAGAGAAUGUUCACAAUGGUCCCUGAGCUGUGUCGCUGAGAGGCUGCCAUCUCUCCAGGGGGAGACCUGGAGAAUCCUCAGGUGUGGGUGAGGAUGGCAGGCUUGUUGGCAGGCAGCGGGAAAGGGGGCUUAGAAGGGAGUGGAGCCCCUGGCGGCGGGCGGAUAGGGAUGAAGAGGGUAGAAAGUGCAGCAAGGAGUGGUUGGCCUGGGUGCUCGGCAAGGAUCGGCUUUGCAGGGUUUGUAGGUACAGUUGGCAGGGAUGCGAGAAGAGCCCUCUCUAUUUAUGGGAGGGAGAUGGCUGGGGCGGAGAAAGGUGCAAGGCGGCUGUGCCCCAAGAGUCGUUGUGAGGCUGUCAACGGAAGGAGCAAGCGGAGGCAGGCGGGCCGGACGAGGUUGACGGCAGAGAGGCGUGGGCGGUGGGUGAGGCUUCAGGGCGAGCUUCAAAGGAGGCUGAGGCUGGGGAAAAGGCACAGGAGGUGGUGGAGGCUGUCGUUGGCCUAGGCCAAUGGGAGGAAGCUUUCUGGUCAUCCUGGAUGAGUGUUACUGCUCUGAAGUAGAAGCAGUAAAGAAGCUAGGCCCCCCAGCUCUGGCUUUUAUAGCCGACAGCAGGGCCCCUCAUUAAUGUAUCAUCCUUUGUCUGAUAUGACAUGUUUGUGCCCCUCCCCUUCAGUGCAGGGGGGCGGGGACGCACCCACCAGGCCAUGGUGUCUCAGGGGAAAAGUAAUCCAAACAGCAAAGAGAAGAAUGGUCUGUAAUGCUGGAACCAUACUGAAUCCUUCUUUCUUUCCUUUUCACAGCUGGUUAGCAAAAGCUACUUCUGCGCUUGUGACUAAUUAGAGCGUCUGUUCAGUUCAACAGAUAAGUAGUACUUGCCGGGGAGUUCCUGAAACUGGGCUUGGGAAAGUCACCUGCAGUUCCAGGUUGUCUCUCCCUCCCUGGUCAGCAAGCACGGAGGAUUGCAUUGAUUGUAACAGAAUGCAAAGGGGCCGUGUGCCAAAGGCACAAUAUGCAUAGGUCCUGUGUCUCCCCCAAGUGAGCCUCCUCCUGGUAAUGAGUACUGGCAUCUCUUAACACGGCCCUUGCCUCCUCUCUGUUGCCGUGCAGUAAAGUUUUAGAGCUGCUUGGUUGUCCAGAAUACCCUGUUCUGCCCUCCCCGUGGUGCAGUGCAGCCAUCAGCAAGCUGUUCACGCGCCACUGAUGCCCGAGAUGGAGAAGCUGCCCUUCACCAGCGUCGUGCUGUCUGCUCCGGGUUUGCUGGUAGUCACAUCCUCCGCGGCCCAGUCUCUCCCUUGCACCCCGAAAAACCUCAGGACACCCUCUCAGAGUAAGGUGCAGUUUCUGAGAAACUUCUUCAUCUGUCCUCAGCCCUGUCGUCCUCAUUCUGUUUGGCCCUGUUCACAAGGCCUGGACUUCCCAUAACUCUGUCAGUCCCGAGCUUGAGAUAACAGAGUUUGCCCCUCAGCUUGGCUGAGACUGACCAGAGGCCAGGAUGGAGCCGAGGGCACGGGGCUGAGGAGAGCAGCCUCACAGCAGGAAUUGGGGAAACGGAAAGCAGGAGUGCCCCAGUCUGUCUGCCUUCAGUGCAGCCUGUUCACAUGUGGGUGUCACAGCCAGCCAGACACUGGUGCUCCUGAGGUCUCGUGCAGAGUGUUUCCCAUGCAUGAGGGAGAUGCGUGGUCCACGCCAUGGUCUUCACCAAGGGUUUGUUUUCUUGCUGUGAACUCUUGGGAAUUUUUCCAUUGUCCCUUUGAUGCCCCCACUCUGUGACCUGGUAAAAAAAUGGAAGCAGGCCAAAAUAUUUCCCUUCCAGUUGUGUUUUCCUGGACCCACCACAGAUUAGAUGUCGUGGUUACGUGGUUACUGUGAUUGUUGGCACUUGUGUGGCCCUCUGUGACUCUCCACAUCAGGUGUUGUCAGCACACUGUGUUUUCUCACCUUGGGUGUGGAGAGAGUUUAGUUUUACUGCUAAAUGUUCUUUCAUUAUUGGAAUGAUAAGCUUUGUGACCUUAAUUCCAUUUAGUCUUGAAAGGUUCAAUUUGAUGACAUCCCUUGUGAUUUGUUUUACAUAUCUGUCACUUCUUUCAAAUUGCAUGUUCAUUUACAUUUGAGUAGUCCAUUGUCCACUGUGACAUCUUUGUCCAGGAAUUGGUCUGGUAAAAGCCUAGUUUUCCAUGGUCAGUUCAUGUUUCUCUUAUGCUUCUUUAAGGCUCCACCAGCUCAGAUCUCACUUCUUCAUAUGGGCAUGUGAUACAUUUCCUGAACUUUUCUGUUUUGAGCCCUUCUGUUGUUUCAUUGGGCACUUGGAAUUUUAUGGUCACAAAAGCCAUCCUGAAAGCACAGUGACUGAGCCUCUCGUGUGACCUGUGACUACCUGGAGAGCAGGAGGUUCUCUCAUUCUUUCAUCUUCAGAUGGAAGAUUCUCUAGGAAGACUAACAUUAGAGGUAUUUCUUCAUGUCUGUAUUCAUUCAUUGGCAAGUAAAAACAAAAGCGCUGUCCCUCGGGUGGGGUGAGUCUGUCCAAGCUUCAUAUGGCGGAUUCGCACAUGGGUCAGGCCUCUGAUCUCUGAGAUUGGUUCUUCCCCCCUUACCACGUCCCCAGAGGCAGGGCUGACCCUUGGUCUUGGUAGAUGUCCACCUGCAGGCCCUGCCUCUGCGCUCUUGUUCCAUGGUCCUGUGCUUCUCAGCCUUGGCGAUAGUGACGCUUGGUGUUGAACAAUUCAUUGCUCUUCUCCACAGGGCCUGUCCUGGUCACUGCUGACCUCUGCCCCCUGCCCGCCAGUAGCGUGCUUCUUCCUGUUCCUUUCCCCACCAGCGAGGUCCACACAGUGCCCUCUGUUGUAACUGUUUCCCUACCCUGUGUCAUUAUCCGUAGGCUCUCCGCUCCGGUCUCUUCCACAGGGCAGCCAGUAGAGCAGUGUUUGUAAGCCAGAGCGUUUUGGCUGCUGUGUUGGAUGCUUUCAGAGUUCCACCUUGUUCAGUGCAGAGCUCUAGACCCUGAUCAUGGUGCAGGGAAUAUUAAUCACUCACCCUGCCUCUGCCUCGGAGCCCUCCCCUAGUCCCACCACAGAUGGACACUCGCAGGCAACCCCUGAAUUCUCUCCUGUGCCUCAGGAACAGGUUCCACACUUUGAAAACAGCGAGAUUUUUCCUAUCUCUGUCUGGUGUUGUCAUUUCUUUCUGUAUGGGAUAUGCAUGGCACCCUGAAGGGGCAAUUUAAUGGCAUUCCUUUUGUAAAUUUAAUCACCGCCUCCUGAGAGCCCUGGCAUUUACUACAAUCCACACUGAGCAUACUAAAGAGUUUAAAUACUUGUUUACAAGGAAUUUGCAGCACGAUCUAUUCUCCCACCCCAAGCCUGGUCUAUAGAAGUGAGAAAAAGCAUGUAUUGGAAGACAGAAAACAGGUGUGUAACUGCAGGGGUGCAGGUGGGAGAGCAGGCUGGGCCCUUCAAAGCCCUCACAGGUGACACAGGAAUUCCAAGAGAAAGGAUAGAGAUUGAGAGCACAGGAGAGGAAUAAGAACAGGAGAAGUGUACGCGGAGGUUAGGGGAGAAGGUAUACGGGUGGGGAGGAGUCUGGGCUUGGUUAGGAGGUCAGGGGUCUUGCUGUACACACUCCUGAGCAGCAGGUAGCAGGGUUCACCCUGGUUGCACAGACCUUGGAAAUAGAACACACAGGAAGCUCAUGAGGCAGUUGUGGGAUUACCCUUCCCAGAGUCAGAGCACACUGUCUCUCAGGGCACCUGAGCUUGAGUGAGGGGAAGGCAGGAAGCUGGGGUAGCUGGGCCCUAUGAUGUCCUCAUUUCCAUCAGCGUUGGAAAUGGGCACCCGGCGCUGGCAGAGGAGGUGAGGGAGGUUGAUGGACAGCACCAGGACGUGAGAUAGGAGGGGUCUGCGUGGUGGUGAUGGGAGCCUCCUGGGGAAGGUUUUCCUCCAGUGAUCUCCUGGUGAGGGGAGGGCGUGUCUAUCCCCAGACACUGCGAUACUCCCCCGUGCUGUCACCUGCACAGUCAGGCUGAAAGUGUUCAGAGCCUGCUCACCUAGCCCAUCUCUUUCCAUUCUUUCUGCCUCUUACCCUGUCAGCACCCGUGUUUCUCCCACGUCUGCCUCACAUGAUGUAAACUUGACAGGCUCGGGCCAUGGAGAAAAGGAUCUAUAUCCAUGCUACUCCUAGAAGACGUUAUUGGACUGAGUGGGUGGGGCUGCGAGAUGGGAGUCACGAGUGGGGUGCUGCUGUGUGCUCUGUGUUGUUCCUGUAGGCAUCAGGACCAGUUAGACAACAAAGAGAACGUGGGCAAUUCCCUAAGUCUCCAGCGGAACUGAACCUGAGCCGACGCUCUGCCCGCUGCUCUCUUGAGCCCAGCCUGAACGUCUCAACAGGAAGAGGGAAUGUGGCCUCUCACAACAGUCCUGAAUGUCUGAACAGCUCUGCCUGACAGAAGCGUUCCUAAGUCAGGCCGAAGUUGUCAUCUUGGCAUCUUCUUUCUGAUGGGGCAAGCCCCCCCCCCAGGCUGAGGCUCCCAGCAGAGGAACUUGAGUCCUGGGAGAACGAGGCUUGGCAUGGAGGGUGCAGACCAGCCCCACAGAGAAGGCGAGCCCAGACGUGGCCUGUUUUUACUAACAAGAAAAGGAGAUGGAAAAGCUUCCCCUGGGUCACUGGCAGUCUGGCCCCCUCUGGAAAGAACGCAGCAAGAUCUGCCUUCCUGGACCAUCUGAAGAACAAGCUCCAGGGGUGAUCUGCCCCAUUCCUGUCUUCCCCUUGUCUGAACCCUACACUACAGCUUGCGGUCUCCAAGCCCUUCCCCAUCCAGCUUCCUCGCCCCAUGUGCCAAGGUGCCAGCCCCUGGAGCACCAUAGGCAGCCCCUUAGCAGCUUGCCUGGCAUCUCAAUUGGACCUUCACAACGAGUAGCUGAAAGUGCCACCAAGACUGAGUCAGGAGUACAGCUCUCCCCCAAGCCUAGUGGAUCUCUUGGAAAGAGUGAUUCAGUCUGAGUCUCUCUCAGCUGCCAUGUUGUAUCAUGGGAUACACAGACACAGUCAGAUUGAGAUCUGUGUCCCUCCUCCUGGCUGGCUUAUGACAUCACAGAUAUGGUAAUAUAAUGUGACCCAGGAGUAUGCCUGUCCUUCUCAUGACUGACAUGUAAUAUAUUAUGUGUGACACAGAUGAUGUGGACCUGAGUUCUUAAUUUCUUUUUGAAGUCCUCACACACACAGAAAUAAGAAUUCAAAGCAUCCAUAUAUAUGUGUGUUUGUGUGUGUGUAUACAUACAGCACAAGUGAGAACAAGAUUUAUUUUACAAUUAGAAAACAUACAUUCACUGCUCCAACAUGGGAAGCAGUCCAUACUGCAGACUCAUAGAAUAACAAUUGCUUAAAGUAGCACUCUGACCUCAGAAUCAGACCUUAAGGCAUUCUGGUCUGGCUGAAAAGCCCAUGAGAGCAUUUUAGGCAUGGAAAGCCAAGACUCUGGCAAAGAAUAUCCUACAUGAAGGACCUCUCUUUGUAAGACCUCAAUGGAAAGAAAUCAUCAGAGAACGAGAUACUUUUCUCUGAAGGGAGCAGAGAACGUCCACUUUGCUUAUGGCCUUGUCUAAAUACUGAUGGAGUUUGUGGAUUCAAAAGGCUUCCAUAGCCUAGGCAGCUCAUGUCAAGAGCCUCAGGUGAUCACUGAUAUCACACAUAAAAGUGUUAAUUAUUAAAUUAACAAGAGUCACUGUGCACUAAUUUCCCAUGCAGGACCUCUGUCAUCAAAGAGUUGCAUUAUGAGAGUUAAUAGUAAAACUUGUUCUCAAGGAUUUUUUUUUCAUUUUAGUGUAUUAAGUGGAGGAUAUUCUUAAUGUCUCAUGAGUUUUAGUUACGCUUAAGUGUCCAACUCCAUUGCUUCAUUUCUUAGGUGCUUCCUUGAUUAAUGAUAAAACUUGUUCUCAAGGACUUACUUUUUUUAAUGUAUUGAGUGAAGUAUAUUCUCAUGUCUCAUAAGUUAUACUUAUGUCUAAGAGCUUACAAAAGGUGUGUCAUUCUUGCAUGCUUCUUUAAAGUUAAUUAUGUUUCUAACAGAAAGUGAAAUUAACUUCCAGAUGCAGUGACUUUGAACAGCCUUUGUCUCAACUGUUGAGGAACAGGUUGCUUUUUUUUUUUCUCAUGCAAAUUGUUGAAUUCUUUACUUAGUACAGAAUUGGUCUUCUGUGGAUAAAGUUAAUUGAAAAUGGAUGAUCUUAGUGGAGAAUGGGACUGGGAAUGGGGGAGGGAGGAAGAGGGGUGGGAAUGUGGAUGGGAGGGCAGGUAUGGUGGGAAGAAUCACUAUAAUCCUAAAGUUGUAUGAAAUGCAUGAAGUUUAUGGCUGGCACCAUGGCUCACUUGGCUAAUCCUCCACCUGCAGCACUGGCACCCUGGGUCCUAGUCCCAGUUGGGGUACUAGUCUCAGUUGCUCCUCUUCCAGUCCAGCUCUCUGCUGUGGCCUCGAAAGGCAGUGGAGGAUGGCCCAAGUACCUGGGUCCCUGCACCUGCAUGGGAGACCGGGAAGAGGUACCCAGCUCCUGGCUUCAGAUUGGCACAGCACCGGCCGUGGCGGCCAUUAGGGGAAUGAACCAACAGAAGGAAGACCUUUCUCCCUGUCUCUCUCUCACUGUCUAUAACUCUCUCUCUCUCUCUCUCUCUCUCUCUCUCUCUCUCUAUAACUGUCUCUCUAUCUAACUCUGCCUGUCAAAAAAAAAAAAGAAGAAGAAAUGCAUGAAGUUUGUAUUCCUUAAAUAAUAGUCUUUUGGGGGAAAAAAAGAAGAAAACAUACAUUCACAUGAGAGUGUGGGCCAUCCCAAAUGAGGAAACACCCAUCAUGAGUGGGCCAGAGGGUUGCCCAUGAAAGAAAAAAGAGCAGUACCUCCAGGUGUGGGCUGUGAUGGAAAGAGAACUUCAUCCCAUUCUCAGCCUCUUUUAUGAGGUAGGGGAUGGUACCUUAAGCAGAUAAGCAAAUUUGAGGGGGUGGUCCUAGCAUCCACCUUGGUCCUGGAUGAGACAGGCCCAUCCUGGAAAAGUGGGCAUAUCAAGCCAACAGUUAGAGAAACGUUCCAUUGCAGGGCUGCGAGAAGUCCAGCUCGCCUAAACCCAGCUACUCCACAGAACAAGCACACAGGAUGACCUCAGGCGUGCACCUCCUCCCUCAGCUGUGUGGUCUGGAAGGCUACACAGUGAUAGGCCAGUAAGGACUACUCCGGCCAGCAUCCCCUCGCUCAGCUGUCAUAUAUCUUGUGUGACCCAAAGACCCAUUUGAGCCCAGUCAGCCUAUACUCUCAAUCAGCUGCCUCAUGAUUGUCGCAAUGCUUGGGACUAGAAGUAACUCAGAUUUCAGAGGGUUUUUGGAUUUGUGAAUAUUUGCAUACACAUAAUGAGACAUCUUGGGGAUAGGACCUGUUAGGACUUGCUAGGCCCUGGGACACAAAUAGUUAACUUCAAAUCUGAUAGAAUUAGGCAUAAGUAAAAUAACCCUGAAAGUGACAUGGUGGAGUUUUAUGCCCGAGAAUCUGCUGGAUUGGCACCAGCUUGUAUAGCCCUUUGCCCAGGACAUGCCAAGCUGGUAAGACCAUGCAUUGUAAUUUGUCAUCUUUGAUAAACAGCUGUCAAAGAGGGUUGUCUUCCCAUUCAGACCCACCUUACUGCAGCAGAUGUGGGUCUCCACACUUAACCAGACUCCUCCCCCAACCAGCUACACAAAAUAGGCAGUGCCUGGUGCAAUGACACCUGGGUUUAAACCGCAUCUGCUAUCCAGGCGGGCUGAGCCCCAACUCCUCUUAUCUAUGAUUCUGUGCCUCCUGGAAUAAAGUCUUUCCUGGCUUACCUGAUUAUCUGAGUUCCUUCUUCGAACCCUGAAAUCCUAAAGCCUGAUAGGACCCAAGUGUAAACACAAAAUUUACUUGCAUUUCCUCUACAGUCUGCCUGCCAUAAGCCUUACACGUUAUGUCUAGCGCACCUGAGCUCUGACUGUGACCCAUCGCGUGAGGUCAGGUGUGGAAUACUCCAUUUGUGCACUAUGUCGAUGUUCAGAGUGCUUUGGAUUGGGAAGCAUCUCAGGUUUUCAGAUUAGGGAUUCUCAACCUGGGGUGAUGGGCUGUGACCUCGGGGGUGUGUCCCGCACUCACUAUCCUGUCACGAGCGGCUGUUGCCUCAACUGGGAACCAUCCCCUGUAGUGAUUCUCCUCAGUAGUGGACUCUCCGCCAGUAACAACAUCAGCCCCGGCUAGCUCACCCCAACCACAGCCCUGAGUUCACUCAUCCCCAGUGGUGACCAGUAGCUCACACCCAGAAGCGACACCAGCCCCAAGUUUGACUCACCCCAGAGGUGAGCAAGGGAUGGCCUGAGUCAGUAGCAGACUGUCCACACCCUAAGCAGACCCAGUCCUAGGGUCUGAAGUCCGGCCUGUAGCCCAGCUGUUCACAGUGAUGACCCAGACACCAGGACAAAUCCUGUACUACACACACACACACACACACACACACACACACGUGCCCACUCUACCGGACACAAACGGCAGAAGAACAUGUGCUAUGACAGCUUCCAUCAGGCCUGCAGGGGUACUGGGAGGGGGGAAGAAGAGCCAGGACCAGCCCCCUGCCCCACCAUCAGCCUCUGAAGGGAUCUGCCACCAGCCCCUGGCCCUCAUCAGCUUCUGAGGGGCUCUGCCCAUGAACCAGACUGGGACUCCUCUGGGACCUCAGGGUGCUGAAGACCCCAGGAAGCUCGAGCUGCUAGCGUAUUCCCUGCACCUGAGAAGUGGCAGCCACAUUUCUCCCAGACACAACAUGAACUUGGCAGUUUGACGUGCACCAGGCAGUGCCUGCCUCGUGGGCAUUCUCACCUAGGACCAGCCCCAUGAUGCAAUGUUAGGGCGGGAGACCCAGCAUUAUGGGCCGGCAGUUUAAGCCACUGCUUAGCAACACCAGCAUCCCUUAUCAGAGUGCUGGUUCAAGUCCUGGCUGCUCCGUUUCUAAUCCAGCUCCCUGCUAAUAUGCCUGAGAGAACAGCAGAAGAUGGCCCAGGUCCUUGGGCCUGUACCAUCCACAUGGGAGACCCAGAAGGAGUUCCAGGCUUCUGUCUUCCACCUGACCCAACCCAACCAUUAUAGCCAUCUGGGAGGGCAACCAGCAGAUGGAAAACUC